UAGUGGCGAACGGGUGAGUAACACGUGGGCAAUCUGCCCUUCACUCUGGGACAAGCCCUGGAAACGGGGUCUAAUACCGGAUAACACUCCCACUCGCAUGGGUGGGGGUUAAAAGCUCCGGCGGUGAAGGAUGAGCCCGCGGCCUAUCAGCUUGUUGGUGAGGUAACGGCUCACCAAGGCGACGACGGGUAGCCGGCCUGAGAGGGCGACCGGCCACACUGGGACUGAGACACGGCCCAGACUCCUACGGGAGGCAGCAGUGGGGAAUAUUGCACAAUGGGCGAAAGCCUGAUGCAGCGACGCCGCGUGAGGGAUGACGGCCUUCGGGUUGUAAACCUCUUUCAGCAGGGAAGAAGCGAAAGUGACGGUACCUGCAGAAGAAGCGCCGGCUAACUACGUGCCAGCAGCCGCGGUAAUACGUAGGGCGCAAGCGUUGUCCGGAAUUAUUGGGCGUAAAGAGCUCGUAGGCGGCUUGUCACGUCGGGUGUGAAAGCCCGGGGCUUAACCCCGGGUCUGCAUUCGAUACGGGCUAGCUAGAGUGUGGUAGGGGAGAUCGGAAUUCCU
rnacentral:rRNA from 3 species